ACGUACACUCCUACGGGAGGCAGCAGUGGGGAAUUUUGGACAAUGGGCGAAAGCCUGAUCCAGCCAUGCCGCGUGCAGGAUGAAGGCCUUCGGGUUGUAAACUGCUUUUGUACGGAACGAAACGGCCUUUUCUAAUAAAGAGGGCUAAUGACGGUACCGUAAGAAUAAGCACCGGCUAACUACGUGCCAGCAGCCGCGGUAAUACGUAGGGUGCAAGCGUUAAUCGGAAUUACUGGGCGUAAAGCGUGCGCAGGCGGUUAUGUAAGACAGUUGUGAAAUCCCCGGGCUCAACCUGGGAACUGCAUCUGUGACUGCAUAGCUAGAGUACGGUAGAGGGGGAUGGAAUUCCGCGUGUAGCAGUGAAAUGCGUAGAUAUGCGGAGGAACACCGAUGGCGAAGGCAAUCCCCUGGACCUGUACUGACGCUCAUGCACGAAAGCGUGGGGAGCAAACAGGAUUAGAUACCCUUGUAGUCCCAUGAU
rnacentral:rRNA from 1 species